GAUGAACGCUGGCGGCGUGCUUAACACAUGCAAGUCGAACGGAAGGGCCCAAGCUUGCUUGGGUACUCGAGUGGCGAACGGGUGAGUAACACGUGGGUGAUCUGCCCUGCACUUCGGGAUAAGCCUGGGAAACUGGGUCUAAUACCGGAUAGGACGAUGGUUUGGAUGCCAUUGUGGAAAGUUUUUUCGGUGUGGGAUGAGCUCGCGGCCUAUCAGCUUGUUGGUGGGGUAAUGGCCUACCAAGGCGUCGACGGGUAGCCGGCCUGAGAGGGUGUACGGCCACAUUGGGACUGAGAUACGGCCCAGACUCCUACGGGAGGCAGCAGUGGGGAAUAUUGCACAAUGGGCGCAGGCCUGAUGCAGCGACGCCGCGUGGGGGAUGACGGCCUUCGGGUUGUAAACUCCUUUCGCUAGGGACGAAGCGUUUUUGUGACGGUACCUGGAGAAGAAGCACCGGCUAACUACGUG
rnacentral:rRNA from 1 species